AGAUGAUGACAUGCACAACAGAGAUAGAAAUUUGUUACUUUAAAUGCUUGGACCAUCAUAUGAAGAAAUUCUUGCUGCAUAUACUAGGCGAUGUCUAGGCGAUGUCCAGUUCCAUCCAAUUUUCGGUAUGUCAUGAAGUUCAUCAAGAAAUUGCAGCAGGAUAUCCCUGGGCCCUGGCCAUGGAGUAAAUGAUCAGCUUCAGAACCUUUGCAACGUCUAAAUGCUCUAUCUUCUCCACAGGAACCUGGGCAACUUCCAUCUAACAAUUAUAUCUGAUUUUACAAAGAAGGUGCCCUUAUAUGGCAGUUCGUAGCUGAUGCACUUGGCAUAUGAGUUUUACCAAUAACUUUUGACAGUUCAUAUCCGAUUCCAAGUGAUGAAUUUCUUCUGAGGUGUGUAGUUACCAUGUAUUGCUCUGUGUUUAUAGCACCAGCAGGAACUUGAGCUGAGCAGUACAUGAGGGAGAUUAAUUUCAGGUACCAUCAGGGUAUAAUUUUUUUUGCCCAAAUGCCAUUCACUUUCAGGGUGCAGCCCAGCCACCCCAAUCAGCGGGAAGACAAGUAAACCACUGAAUCCUGUUGGGGCCUAUAUGAACUAAUGCUCCUUUAC